rnacentral:lncRNA from 1 species
CUCUCUCUCUCAGCCCUCACUAUUGGGAAGCAAGUUGCCAUCUUAUGAGCAGGGAGAGGCCCACAUCCCAAGGAGCUGAUGUUUCUGGCCAACAGCCAGUGAGGACCUGAGGCCUGCCAGGUCACAUGAGGGAGCCUGGAAGUGGGUCUUCUCAGUCCUGCCAACAGCUGUGAGUGAGCAUGGACGCAGAUCCUCUCCCAGUGGAGCAUUUGGAUGACCACGGCUCUGGCUAACACCUCACUUACAGCCUUGGGAGAGAUUCUGAGUCAGAGGCAUCCAGCUAAAUUGACCCACAGACACGGUCCCGGUUUAUGACUGCAAAACAAUGGUUUAAACAGUAUUCAUUCUGGAACAUCACUCAAUUUCACUAAUACUAGUAAGUAAAUAAAUAUGUAUGCGUGUGUCUAUAUAUAAAGUAAGUAUGAAAUAACUGUUUCAAAUAAAUAACUCCUUCCCAACAUUUUUUUUUUCAGGAUCCCAAACACUCUGAUAUCAGAAUGUUCUUCCCUAUUCGGGCUAGUUUAUAAAGUUCAUUUGAGAGUAUUCUGAAAUUAAAUAAAACAAACCUAAAACAGUAAGACUGCA